rnacentral:rRNA from 1 species
UACGGGGGGAGCAAGCGUUGUUCGGAUUUACUGGGCGUAAAGGGCGCGUAGGCGGCGCAACAAGUCACUUGUGAAAUCCCCGGGCUUAACCCGGAGCGGCCAAGUGAUACUGUCGUGCUAGAGUGCGGAAGGGGCUACUGGAAUUCUCGGUGUAGCGGUGAAAUGCGUAGAUAUCGAGAGGAACACCUGCGGCGAAGGCGGGUAGCUGGGCCGACACUGACGCUGAGGCGCGAAAGCCAGGGGAGCGAACGGG